AUUUAAUCCACCAAUUUCUUAAUAAUCCACCACUAUAUUUUUCUCUGUUUUUCCCAUCUCCUUUCAAUCCAUAUCCAUUAUUUUCAGUUUCUCUCAUCCCUCUUUUCUCAUAUCAUAUUGUAACCCUAAGAAUCAAUCUCACACUAAAAAGCUCACAAAUUGUCUUUGAGAUUGAUGGUGCCCAAGAGAGGAGGAGAAUGAGAAAUUGA
rnacentral:lncRNA from 1 species